AGCGAGCGCUGGCGGCAGGCCUAACACAUGCAAGUCGAGCGCCGUAGCAAUACGGAGCGGCAGACGGGAGAGUAACACGUGGGAACGUGCCCUUCAGUUCGGAACAACCCAGGGAAACUUGGGCUAAUACCGGAUACGUCCGUAAGGAGAAAGAUUUAUCGCUGAAGGAUCGGCCCGCGUCUGAUUAGCUAGUUGGUGGGGUAACGGCCCACCAAGGCGAUGAUCAGUAGCUGGUCUGAGAGGACGAUCAGCCUCACUGGGACUGAGACACGGCCCAGACUCCUACGGGAGGCAGCAGUGGGGAAUAUUGGACAAUGGGCGCAAGCCUGAUCCAGCCAUGCCGCGUGGGUGAUGAAGGCCCUAGGGUUGUAAAGCCCUUUCGGCGGGGAAGAUAAUGACGGUACCCGCAGAAGAAGCCCCGGCUAACUUCGUGCCAGCCGCCGCAGUAACAC
rnacentral:rRNA from 1 species